AAUCUGAAACCUUUGAGAAAAGAUUGAAGAUUGAAGAAAAGAUUGAAGGAGAAAAAUGAGUUAUUUUCAUUAAGUGAGAACUGUACUCAGCUCUCUUGAUUUAUACAACGAGAGAAUUGACACCUGUCAAUUCUUUAAUGAUUAAUGACUAACGGCUAUUUCUGUUAUUUCAGCUAACAGAAUUGUUGACUGUACAACCACUAACUUAUUUACUAACAAACUAACUUCCUAUUUAACAAACUUAAAUUAACAAACUUUAACAGAUUUGUUUAAUUAAAGCCUCUUGCUUCUAAGCUUGAUUUUGAUGCUCUGUUACCCCCCCUCAAGCUGGAGUAUAUAUAUCAUGUAUACCCAGCUUGUUGAGAAGGUUCUGAAAAGAAGAGGUAGGAAGAGGUUUUGUAAAGAAGUCAGCCAAUUGUUGAUCUCCUGAGAUUGGAAAGAGAUGUACCAGUCCUGAUUGAAUCUUCUGUCUGACUAUGUGGCAAUCUAUUUCGAUAUGUUUGGUUCUUUCAUGAAAAACUGGGUUGUGAGCUAUGUAGCAUGCAGACUGAUUAUCACAAUAGAGUUUUGCUGGAGAUGUCUGUUCUUCUUGAAGAUCUUUCAGUAAGAAAGUUAUCCAUUGAAGCUCACAGACAGUGUUGGCUAAAGCUCUGUACUCUGCUUCUGAGCUUGAUUUUGAUACUGUCACCUGCUUUUUUGUUUUCCAUGAUACUAAAGCUUCUCCAAGAAAAACACAUAAACCAGUAAUGGAUUUCCUGGUAUCUGAACAUGUGGCCCAAUCUGAAUCUGAGAAGGCUCUUAGAGAUAGACUGUUCUUAGAUGGAAAGAAAAUACCUUGUCCUGGUGAUUUCUUAAGAUACCUUAAUAUUCUGGAUAUUGCUUGAAAGUGUAUCUCAGUUGGACAGUCUAAGUACUGAGAAAGUUGCUGGACAGGAAAGCAUAUAUCUGGUCUUGUACUGCAGAGAUAAAUUAGUUUUCCAACUAAUCUUCUAUAAGCUGUUAUGUCUUUAUAAGCUUCAGAACCACCCUCCUUAAUUAGCCUGGUUAAUGCAGUCAUUGGAGUUGCAGAUGGUUUGGAUCCCAAAAAACCAGUUUCUGUGAGAAGAUCCAUUGUAUAUUUUCUUUGACACAAGUUAAUUCCAGAUUUAGACCUUGCUACUUCAAGUCCUAGAAAGAACUUCAAUGAUCCUAAGUCCUUGAUUUUGAACACAUUAUCCAGAAAAGUCUUGAUACUAUCAAUCUGACUUUGAUCAUUACCAGCCAGAAUCACAUCAUCCACAUAUACCAAUAAAGCUGUGAAUGAUUGAUUUUGCUUCUUUAAGAAGAGAGAGGAAUCUGAGGCUGCUUGAACAAAACCUUGUGAAACUAAAGCCUCUGUUAACUUCAAAUUCCACUGUCUGCUUGCCUGUUUCAAUCCAUAAAGGGACUUUGUUAAUUUACAGACUUGAUUUGAGUUAGAUAUAGACAAACCUGGUGGAAUCUCCAUAUAAACUUCUUCAUGUAACUCUCCAUGCAAAAAUGCAUUGUUGAUAUCCAGUUGACUUAAAAUCCACCCUUUUGCAGCAGCUAAAGCUAACAAAACUCUGAUUGUUGUCAUCUUUGCCACAGGAGAAAAGGUGUCUGUAUAAUCCACCCCAUUCUGCUGAGUGUAUCCCUUGGCAACUAACCUUGCCUUGUACCUUUCAAUAGUCCCAUUACUAUGAUAUUUUAUUUUAAAAACCCAUUUACAGCCAAUAGGAACUUUAUUUGCAGGUAAAUCAGUUAAUAUCCAGGUUUUAUUUAGUUCAAGAGCAUCAAGCUCUUUCUGCAUAGCUUCUUUCCAACAAACAUGUUUAAUAGCUUGACUAUAUGUUUUUGGUUCUACUGUACUAUCAACACUGGUUGAAAAAGCUUUAUGAGAUGUAUUCAAUUUAUCAUAAGACAAAACUUGAGAAAUUAGAUGAGGUGUAGUCCUAGAUUUUUGACAUACAUAGUCUUUUAGAUGAACAGGUUCAGUAACCUUCCUAUGUGAUCUUCUAAUAGGUUCUAUAGUCUGUUUACUAGUUCUUGUAUCUAACAAAGGUUCAACCUGAUCACUUAUAUUCAUAACAGACUCAUGAUGCAUUUGAACAUUUAAAUUGUCAUUAUCAUGCAUAUUUAUAUUCAUGACAGGCUCAGAAUGUAAAUUGUUAGGCAUAGCAUAUGGCAAAUGAUAAUCUAUAUCAGGUACUUCAAUAGCAGCAGGCAAAACAACAGAAGUAUUGGACAAUAUAGACAGGUUUUUAUAAGGAAACAAACAUUCAUAAAACUUCACAUCUCUUGAUACAAAAACCUGUUUAGAUUGUAAAUCAUAAAGUCUAUAUCCUUUUGUAUUUUCAGGAUAACCAAGGAAAACACACUCAAUUGCUCUUGGUGUAAAUUUAUGCCUGUUAUGAGAGAUGGUGUCCUAUUGAUAAGAAAAGUUGCAUGAGAAACACAGUCAGACCAAAAACAUAAAGGAAUAGAAGAUUGAAAUUUUAAAGCUCUUGCUACAUUUAAUAUAUGCUGAUGUUUUCUUUCUACAAUUGCAUUUUGCUCAGGAGUAUACACACAAGUAGUUUGAUGUAUAAUACCUUUAGAAUCAUAAAAACUGGGCAUAUUAAACUCU